rnacentral:lncRNA from 1 species
CUAACAUAGUAAUGAGACCCUCCAUGGCUCUCAUGGCCUAAUUAUCCUGAAAGGUCUUACCUGGGGGGGUGAGUGGUCCAUAUGCAGUCCCUAAGAUCAAGUGGCUUAAAGCAGUCGGAAGCCAUGCCUGCUAAGCGCAUCUUGGCCUGCAUCCACACAACCAUCGUCUGAACUUGUGAGUGAGCUGAGAAGAUAGAAGUCUCUCUGAUACCCAAGUCAGCUCAGUCAAGACCAAACUACCAAGCUGGUUAUCGGCAUGUAAUCCACGAACGGACAUCAUGGGUUUCUCUUUGUGUCUCAGAUGGCUUCCACCUUUUUCUUUGAAGCCCCCGUCUACUUGUGUGGGCAGCAGUGAAGACAUCUGGGAGCAUCCACAACUACAGGAUGGGAGCUAAGGUUCUGACCUCUGCAGCACAGCCGGACAGCUCGAGCUGACACAAAGGCUUCUACCCAUCCUGGGCCUUUCUCACAGGGAAGACCGCCACCACCACCACUACCACCACCCCUAAAAUGCUGCAAGAAACAAGGCAGUGGCCGAUCAGCUCUGUGCCUGGUCACUGAUUCAUCGAGACCAACUUGGUGGGCGAGCCCCAGGGAUCCUCCAGCCUUCACCUCUCCAGGCUGAGACUACAGGAGUAGGCCACUUGCCUGGCUUUUCACCUGGGUUCUAAAAUUUCAAACUCAAUUCCUCAUUAGAAUAUCAGCCAUGGAAGCUUGGGACAUGGACUCGUUGCCCCACUCCUGAUGCAGAGGCAAUACUUUUGUUGUUCUUCAGCUAGAGUUGCCAUGACGAAACACCGGAGACUGGACGGCUCAAACGACAGAAAUCUG